GGCAAAUUAUAGCAAAAAUGUGUUAGAUGCCCUAACAGAAACUACAUUUACGUGUUCAACGAAUGUUCCUUCUACAUCUACUAUUUGUGUUCCAGGUGUUCAACCUUCUGCUGGUAAAUUUAUGAUUUAAAAAUGUUUCUUAAUGAUUAUUGAAUUUAUG